rnacentral:misc_RNA from 1 species
UCGCGGCUUAUCACCGGCAGUCCCCUUAGAGUGCCCCACCAAAGGAUGGCAACUAAGGGCGAGGGUUGCGCUCGUUGCGGGACUUAACCCAACAUUUCACGACACGAGCUGACGACAGCCAUGCAGCACCUGUCUCCGGUCCAGCCGAACUGAAGGGAUCCAUCUCUGGUUUCCGCGACCGGGAUGUCAAGGGUUGGUAAGGUUCUGCGCGUUGCUUCGAAUUAAACCACAUGCUCCACCGCUUGUGCAGGCCCCCGUCAAUUUCUUUGAGUUUUAACCUUGCGGCCGUACUCCCCAGGCGGAUGACUUAACGCGUUAGCUGCGCCACCGAAACCCCAUGAGCCCCGACAGCUAGUCAUCAUCGUUUACGGCGUGGACUAC